rnacentral:rRNA from 1 species
UACGUAGGUGGCAAGCGUUGUCCGGAAUUACUGGGCGUAAAGCGCACGCAGGUGGCUGAGUCAGUCGAUUGUGAAAGCCCUGGGCUUAACCUGGGAAUUGCAGUCGAUACUACUCAGCUAGAGUAUGGGAGAGGGCAGUGGAAUUCCCGGUGUAGCGGUGAAAUGCGUAGAUAUCGGGAGGAACAUCAGUGGCGAAGGCGGCUGCCUGGCCCAAUACUGACACUCAGGUGCGACAGCGUGGGGAGCAAACAGG